rnacentral:rRNA from 1 species
GACGAACCGAGCGAACGUUGUUCGGAAUCACUGGGCUUAAAGGGCGCGUAGGCGGGUGCUCAAGUCCGGGGUGAAAUCCUCCAGCUCAACUGGAGAACUGCCUCGGAUACUGGGUGUCUCGAGGGUGGUAGGGGUAUGCGGAACUAUCGGUGGAGCGGUGAAAUGCGUUGAUAUCGAUAGGAACUCCGGUGGCGAAGGCGGCAUCCUGGACCAUUACUGACGCUGAGGUGCGAAAGCGUGGGGAGCAAACAGG